rnacentral:rRNA from 2 species
CUUGCAUCAUGAUUUACAUUUGAGUGAGUGGCGAACUGGUGAGUAACACGUGGGAAACCUGCCCAGAAGCGGGGGAUAACACCUGGAAACAGAUGCUAAUACCGCAUAACAACUUGGACCGCAUGGUCCGAGUUUGAAAGAUGGCUUCGGCUAUCACUUUUGGAUGGUCCCGCGGCGUAUAGCUAGAUGGUGAGGUAACGGCUCACCAUGGCAAUGAUACGUAGCCGACCUGAGAGGGUAAUCGGCCACAUUGGGACUGAGACACGGCCCAAACUCCUACGGGAGGCAGCAGUAGGGAAUCUUCCACAAUGGACGAAAGUCUGAUGGAGCAACGCCGCGUGAGUGAAGAAGGGUUUCGGCUCGUAAAACUCUGUUGUUAAAGAAGAACAUAUCUGAGAGUAACUGUUCAGGUAUUGACGGUAUUUAACCAGAAAGCCACGGCUAACUACGUGCCAGCAGCCGCGGUAAUACGUAGGUGGCAAGCGUUGUCCGGAUUUAUUGGGCGUAAAGCGAGCGCAGGCGGUUUUUUAAGUCUGAUGUGAAAGCCUUCGGCUCAACCGAAGAAGUGCAUCGGAAACUGGGAAACUUGAGUGCAGAAGAGGACAGUGGAACUCCAUGUGUAGCGGUGAAAUGCGUAGAUAUAUGGAAGAACACCAGUGGCGAAGGCGGCUGUCUGGUCUGUAACUGACGCUGAGGCUCGAAAGUAUGGGUAGCAAACAGGAUUAGAUACCCUGGUAGUCCAUACCGUAAACGAUGAAUGCUAAGUGUUGGAGGGUUUCCGCCCUUCAGUGCUGCAGCUAACGCAUUAAGCAUUCCGCCUGGGGAGUACGGCCGCAAGGCUGAAACUCAAAGGAAUUGACGGGGGCCCGCACAAGCGGUGGAGCAUGUGGUUUAAUUCGAAGCUACGCGAAGAACCUUACCAGGUCUUGACAUACUAUGCAAAUCUAAGAGAUUAGACGUUCCCUUCGGGGACAUGGAUACAGGUGGUGCAUGGUGUCGUCAGCUC